rnacentral:rRNA from 1 species
AGAGUUUGAUCCUGGCUCAGGACGAACGCUGGCGGCGUGCCUAAUACAUGCAAGUCGGGCGGAUCUGAGGGAGCUUGCUCCCAAAGAUUAGCGGCGGACGGGUGAGUAACACGUGGGCAACCUGCCUGUAAGACUGGGAUAACUUCGGGAAACCGGAGCUAAUACCGGAUAAUCCUUUUCCUUACAUGAGGAAAAGCUGAAAGAUGGUUUCGGCUAUCACUUACAGAUGGGCCCGCGGCGCAUUAGCUAGUUGGUGAGGUAACGGCUCACCAAGGCAACGAUGCGUAGCCGACCUGAGAGGGUGAUCGGCCGCACUGGGACUGAGACACGGCCCAGACUCCUACGGGAGGCAGCAGUAGGGAAUCUUCCGCAAUGGACGAAAGUCUGACGGAGCAACGCCGCGUGAGUGAUGAAGGUUUUCGGAUCGUAAAACUCUGUUGUUAGGGAAGAACAAGUACCGGAGUAACUGCCGGUACCUUGACGGUACCUAACCAGAAAGCCACGGCUAACUACGUGCCAGCAGCCGCGGUAAUACGUAGGUGGCAAGCGUUGUCCGGAAUUAUUGGGCGUAAAGCGCGCGCAGGUGGUUUCUUAAGUCUGAUGUGAAAGCCCCCGGCUCAACCGGGGAGGGUCAUUGGAAACUGGGAGACUUGAGUGCAGAAGAGGAAAGUGGAAUUCCAAGUGUAGCGGUGAAAUGCGUAGAGAUUUGGAGGAACACCAGUGGCGAAGGCGACUUUCUGGUCUGUAACUGACACUGAGGCGCGAAAGCGUGGGGAGCGAACAGGAUUAGAUACCCUGGUAGUCCACGCCGUAAACGAUGAGUGCUAAGUGUUAGGGGGUUUCCGCCCCUUAGUGCUGCAGCUAACGCAUUAAGCACUCCGCCUGGGGAGUACGGCCGCAAGGCUGAAACUCAAAGGAAUUGACGGGGGCCCGCACAAGCGGUGGAGCAUGUGGUUUAAUUCGAAGCAACGCGAAGAACCUUACCAGGUCUUGACAUCCUCUGACAAUCCUAGAGAUAGGACGUUCCCCUUCGGGGGACAGAGUGACAGGUGGUGCAUGGUUGUCGUCAGCUCGUGUCGUGAGAUGUUGGGUUAAGUCCCGCAACGAGCGCAACCCUUGAUCUUAGUUGCCAGCAUUCAGUUGGGCACUCUAAGGUGACUGCCGGUGACAAACCGGAGGAAGGUGGGGAUGACGUCAAAUCAUCAUGCCCCUUAUGACCUGGGCUACACACGUGCUACAAUGGAUGGUACAAAGGGCUGCAAGACCGCGAGGUUUAGCCAAUCCCAUAAAACCAUUCUCAGUUCGGAUUGUAGGCUGCAACUCGCCUACAUGAAGCCGGAAUCGCUAGUAAUCGCGGAUCAGCAUGCCGCGGUGAAUACGUUCCCGGGCCUUGUACACACCGCCCGUCACACCACGAGAGUUUGUAACACCCGAAGUCGGUGGGGUAACCUUUUGGAGCCAGCCGCCUAAGGUGGGACAGAUGAUUGGGGUGAAGUCGUAACAAGGUAACCAAUCUCUAGAG